UCUUAGGCUCUUCAGUGAAAUAUGCUUAAAGUCUUGCUCAUAGCUCCCUGGAACUACAUACUGCUGUUCACCAUCAUGUGCACUGCACAGCCUGAUACCAGAGCAGAUGCUUCUGCACUGACUGUUCAUGUGGAAGACAGCUAAUCCACAUAUUACUCCUUGGUAUCCCUUCAAGAGAAAGGAAGAUACAGCUUGCAAAAUCAUUUUUUCCAUUUGCUAUAUCUAUUCCAGGCAGGCAUGGUGAACGAGAAUUUCACCAGGACUACUCCAGAAGAUAUAAAGAAAAAUUUAUGGGUCAAAUGAUUGCCAGUCACUUACUUCCAGGUGUCAUGCACCUUUCCUCCCAAAUGUUAUUAGAGUGACAUCCUGUAUCUUUUUUAGGAAAGAACCUGCAUGAAAAUCUGGAUGUCUAUUUUCUGGCAGUGAGUGUUAGCACAGACAGCUAGAGCACUGAGUGUCCAGCUCAGCCAGCUCUGAGCAGCAGUUACUCCAUCACUUUCAGUCUGUGGUGCUGUGAGCAAAUUCCUAUGAAUAAGAGUAAUGCAAGUCCAUGGAAGCAGGUGAAACCACAAAUCUACUUUGGAAAUUUAUCUGCUAAACAACAGAUAGUGCAUGUCACACACACAGUCUUCUGACAGAAGCUUGUCUACUCUUCAUUCUCAGUUGGCUUC